rnacentral:rRNA from 2 species
UGGGGAAUAUUGGACAAUGGGCGCAAGCCUGAUCCAGCCAUGCCGCGUGAGUGAUGAAGGCCCUAGGGUUGUAAAGCUCUUUCAACGGUGAAGAUAAUGACGGUAACCGUAGAAGAAGCCCCGGCUAACUUCGUGCCAGCAGCCGCGGUAAUACGAAGGGGGCUAGCGUUGUUCGGAAUUACUGGGCGUAAAGCGCACGUAGGCGGAUAUUUAAGUUAGGGGUGAAAUCCCAGGGCUCAACCCUGGAACUGCCUUUAAUACUGGGUAUCUCGAGUUCGAGAGAGGUAAGUGGAAUUCCGAGUGUAGAGGUGAAAUUCGUAGAUAUUCGGAGGAACACCAGUGGCGAAGGCGGCUUACUGGCUCGAUACUGACGCUGAGGUGCGAAAGCGUGGGGAGCAAACAGG